rnacentral:rRNA from 1 species
UACGUAGGGUGCGAGCGUUGUCCGGAAUCAUUGGGCGUAAAGCGCGUGUAGGCGGUCCGGUAAGUCCGCUGUGAAAGUCGGGGGCUCAACCCUCGGAUGCCGGUGGAUACUGUCGGGCUUGAGUACGGAAGAGGCGAGUGGAAUUCCUGGUGUAGCGGUGAAAUGCGCAGAUAUCAGGAGGAACACCGGUGGCGAAGGCGGGUCUCUGGGCCGAAAUUGACGCUGAGGAGCGAAAGCGUGGGGAGCAAACAGG